AGCAGCCUGGAGCUGAGAAGUGAAGCCUGAAGGGUGCAGAUCUGAUCUCUCUUGGAUUCCUUUGGACAUCUUUGAAGCAGCCUCUUUGAAUACCAUCAAGCAAGAGUAAGUAGGAGUUUCCUCUAAUACCCUCUGAUGGACAGAGGAAAAUUGGAGGAAAUCAGUCUCUCUUUUGGACAUCUGAGGACUCAGCUGGAUUCUUGUACCUGACCCAUCAAAGGACUAUCUGAGUUGAAGAUUGGUGGAGACAAUGGUUUUCUGAAGACAAGGAGGAAAAAUUCCCAGUGCCCUGUUGCAUGGGAGAUAUAAUAUAGGGAAACAGAAGGACAUAAAACACUGAAUGCAAUUCAGAGAGAUUCAGGGCUCCUGACAAAGAAGAGAAAAGAAAAGAAAAAGAAAAGAAAAGAAAAGAAAAGAAAAGAAAAGAAAAGAAAAGAAAAGAAAAGAAAAGAAAAUAAAAGAAAAGAAAAAAGAAAAGAAAAGAAAAGAAAAGAAAAGAAAAGAAAAGAAAAAAACAGGAAUGUAGCUAUUUGGUCUAAGACUUGAAGGAAAUUAGGGAUUCCAAGAGGCAGAGGUAAGAAGGGAAAGCAUUCUUGGUGUGGAGGGACAACCAAUAUACUGAGGUAUAAAAUGUGGGACGAACAGCCAGCUGAUCAGUAUGACUGGCUUCUACCAGUGCAUUACAAGAGAAUAAUACAGAAUAAUACUGGAGAGA
rnacentral:lncRNA from 1 species